rnacentral:tRNA from 1 species
GCCUCCGUAGCUCAGGGGAUAGAGCACCGCUCUCCUAAAGCGGGUGUCGCAGGUUCGAAUCCUGCCGGGGGUA